AUGAGGGCGACCGAAUGUGGGGAGGAAGCGUGGAGCGAAGCUGCGGGCCGAUGAACAAGAACCGGAUAGGAGGCGCUGCGGACCGGGGCGAGCGGACAAAGACCCGCGAAGCUCUCGUGAUCAAAGGGAAGCGGCGUAGAUCCGGCGGUCGUGCAGUGAAGGAGUGCGUUC
rfam:Bradyrhizobium sp. NAS80.1 Bradyrhizobium_NAS_80.1_rep_c4297, whole genome shotgun sequence.